rnacentral:lncRNA from 1 species
AUAUUUUUUGCCCUGGGCUUUGAGAUACUGCUUCAACUUGAGCUUUUGGGGAACUAAUUAGUGUUUCAACAAUAUUUGCCUGCCCAAUUAGCUGGAGGCUCCUUGAUGGCAGAGACUGCCUCCUUGGUAUCCCCAGCACACAGCACAGAACCUGGCACAUACCUUCAGCCUUGGGAACUUCUGUGUGUUUAUUGCACAUUCAUGAAGGUUACAGUAAAUAAUACUCAAGUAAGUGCAUCAGGGUUUGUGGAGGGUUUGGUGCAGGCUUGUUCCAGAGCCUUAAUAGGAUGAAUCUGAAAAUGAGGCUUUGGAGAUUUGAUCAAAGGACAGGUGUCUUUUAAUGUUGAGUUUUUAAGAAACAUUAAGGAUCUCAAAUGAGAGAACACUUACCACCUGGACAAAAAGGACAUUCAACAGUGGCAUUUGGGGCUUGUGCCGUUACUGUUUGAACAGAGUAACUGUGAACUGUGAACUGGCUCAAGAAGAUGUGAGUGAUUUGGGAUGGACCUGCAAUGGGGCCUCUCCUGAAGGAGAGGACUAGGAACCGGACUAGGGCAACCAAGGGAUUGAUGGUAAGGUCUUAACCAUGUUUAUGUUCCCCAGUACCUAGCACAUAAUAAAUAGUUGUUGAAUGACUGAAUGAAUGAGAUCAGAGAUGAUUGAACUGGCUGCAGUUUUU